GAUGAACGCUGGCGGCGUGCCUAAUACAUGCAAGUCGAGCGAACAGACGAGGAGCUUGCUCCUCUGACGUUAGCGGCGGACGGGUGAGUAACACGUGGAUAACCUACCUAUAAGACUGGGAUAACUUCGGGAAACCGGAGCUAAUACCGGAUAACAUGCUGAACCGCAUGGUUCAACAGUGAAAGACGGUUUUGCUGUCACUUAUAGAUGGAUCCGCGUCGCAUUAGCUAGUUGGUAAGGUAACGGCUUACCAAGGCAACGAUGCGUAGCCGACCUGAGAGGGUGAUCGGCCACACUGGAACUGAGACACGGUCCAGACUCCUACGGGAGGCAGCAGUAGGGAAUCUUCCGCAAUGGGCGAAAGCCUGACGGAGCAACGCCGCGUGAGUGAAGAAGGUCUUCGGAUCGUAAAACUCUGUUAUUAGGGAAGAACAAAUGUGUAAGUAACUAUGCACGUCUUGACGGUACCUAAUCAGAAAGCCACGGCUAACUACGUG
rnacentral:rRNA from 1 species